rnacentral:rRNA from 1 species
UACAGAGACUGCAAGCGUUAUUCGGAUUCACUGGGCGUAAAGGGUGCGCAGGCGGCCAAGUGUGUUAGGCGUGAAAGCCUGAGGCUUAACCUCAGAAUUGCACCUAAAACUACAUGGCUAGAGCAUUGGAGAGGGUAGCGGAAUUCACGGUGUAGCAGUGAAAUGCGUAGAUAUCUGGAGGAACACCGGUGGCGAAGGCGGCAUCCUGGACCGAUACUGACGCUGAGGAGCGAAAGCCAGGGGAGCAAACGGG